CAGUAGCCGCGGUAAUACGAACCGUGCGAACGUUAUUCGGAAUCACUGGGCUUAAAGCGCGUGUAGGCGGAUGGGAACGUCGGUCGUUGAAAUCCCCCGGCUUAACCGGGGAAGUGGCGCCGAUACGACCCGUCUGGAGGAACGUAGGGGGAGCUGGAACUUCCGGUGGAGCGGUGAAAUGCGUUGAGAUCGGAAGGAACGCCCGUGGCGAAAGCGAGCUCCUGGACGUUUUCUGACGCUGAGACGCGAAAGCCAGGGGAGCGAACGGGAUUAGAUACCCCAGUAGUCCCUGUCUCUUAUA
rnacentral:rRNA from 1 species